GGGCGAUUAGCUCAGCGGGAGAGCGUCUGCCUUACAAGCAGAGGGUCGGCGGUUCGAAUCCGUCAUCGCCCACCA
rnacentral:tRNA from 1 species